GACCAGCGGUCCCCAAUCUUUUUGUCACCAGGGACCGGUUUCGUGGAAGACAGUUUUUCCACGGACUGGGGGGGAGGGGGAUGGUUUCAGGAUGAUUCA